UACGUAGGUGACCAGCGUUGUCCGGAUUUACUGGGCGUAAAGAGCGCGCAGGCGGUCGUUCAAGUCGAGUGUGAAAGCCCCCGGCUCAACUGGGGAGGGUCAUUCGAUACUGAUCGACUUGAAGGCAGGAGAGGGAAGCGGAAUUCCCGGUGUAGUGGUGAAAUGCGUAGAUAUCGGGAGGAACACCAGUGGCGAAGGCGACUUCCUGGCCUGUUCUUGACGCUGAGGCGCGAAAGCUAGGGGAGCAAACGGGG
rnacentral:rRNA from 1 species